CAGCAGUGGGGAAUAUUGCACAAUGGGCGCAAGCCUGAUGCAGCGACGCCGCGUGCGGGAUGGAGGCCUUCGGGUUGUAAACCGCUUUUGUUCAAGGGCAAGGCAGGCUUUCGGGCCUGUUGAGUGGAUUGUUCGAAUAAGCACCGGCUAACUACGUGCCAGCAGCCGCGGUAAUACGUAGGGUGCAAGCGUUAUCCGGAUUUAUUGGGCGUAAAGGGCUCGUAGGCGGUUCGUCGCGUCCGGUGUGAAAGUCCAUCGCUUAACGGUGGAUCCGCGCCGGGUACGGGCGGGCUUGAGUGCGGUAGGGGAGACUGGAAUUCCCGGUGUAACGGUGGAAUGUGUAGAUAUCGGGAAGAACACCAAUGGCGAAGGCAGGUCUCUGGGCCGUUACUGACGCUGAGGAGCGAAAGCGUGGGGAGCGAACAGGAUUAGA
rnacentral:rRNA from 1 species